AGGCCAGUCCGUCCCCAUGAGGCCAGUCCGUCCCCAUGAGGCCAAUCUGUCCCCAUCAAUCUGUCCCCAUGAGGCCAGUCCGUCCCCAUGAGGCCAGUCCGUCCCCAUGAGGCCAAUCUGUCCCCAUAAACCCUUACCAUUCCUGACACCAAGGUUUCUAGAUAAACCCUUACCAUUCCUAACACCAAGGUUUCUAGAUAAACCCUUACCAUUCCUGACACCAAGGUUUCUAGAUAAACCCUUACCAUUCCUAACACCAAGGUUUCUAGAUAAACCCUUAUCAUUCCUGACACCAAGGUUUCUAGAUAAACCCUUACCAUUCCUAACACCAAGGUUUCUAGAUAAACCCUUACCAUUCCUGACACCAAGGUUUCUAGAUAAACCCUUACCAUUCCUAACACCAAGGUUUCUAGAUAAACCCUUACCAUUCCUAACACCAAGGUUUCUAGAUAAACCCUUACCAUUCCUGACACCAAGGUUUCUAGAUAAACCCUUACCAUUCCUAACACCAAGGUUUCUAGAUAAACCCUUACCAUUCCUAACACCAAGGUUUCUAGAUAAACCCUUACCAUUCCUGACACCAAGGUUUCUAGAUAAACCCUUACCAUUCCUAACACCAAGGUUUCUAGAUAAACCCUUACCAUUCCUAACACCAAGGUUUCUAGAUAAACCCUUACCAUUCCUGACACCAAGGUUUCUAGAUAAACCCUUACCAUUCCUAACACCAAGGUUUCUAGAUAAACCCUUACCAUUCCUAACACCAAGGUUUCUAGAUAAACCCUUACCAUUCCUAACACCAAGGUUUCUAGAUAAACCCUU